rnacentral:rRNA from 1 species
UGCGGAGGGAUCAUUACCGAGUUUACAACUCCCAAACCCCUGUGAACAUACCUAUACGUUGCCUCGGCGGAUCAGCCCGCGCCCCGUAAAACGGGACGGCCCGCCCGAGGACCCUAAACUCUGUUUUUAGUGGAACUUCUGAGUAAAACAAACAAAUAAAUCAAAACUUUCAACAACGGAUCUCUUGGUUCUGGCAUCGAUGAAGAACGCAGCAAAAUGCGAUAAGUAAUGUGAAUUGCAGAAUUCAGUGAAUCAUCGAAUCUUUGAACGCACAUUGCGCCCGCCAGUAUUCUGGCGGGCAUGCCUGUUCGAGCGUCAUUUCAACCCUCAAGCUCAGCUUGGUGUUGGGACUCGCGGUAACCCGCGUUCCCCAAAUCGAUUGGCGGUCACGUCGAGCUUCCAUAGCGUAGUAAUAAUACACCUCGUUACUGGUAAUCGUCGCGGCCACGCCGUAAAACCCCAACUUCUGAAUGUUGACCUCGGAUCAGGUAGGAAUACCCGCUGAACUUAAGCAUAUCAGUGCAGCUCAUACGUACCUAC